UUGAACGCUGGCGGCAUGCUUUACACAUGCAAGUCGAACGGCAGCGGGGGCUUCGGCCUGCCGGCGAGUGGCGAACGGGUGAGUAAUGCAUCGGAACGUACCCAGUCGUGGGGGAUAACUACGCGAAAGCGUAGCUAAUACCGCAUACGCCCUGAGGGGGAAAGCGGGGGAUCGCAAGACCUCGCGCGGACGGAGCGGCCGAUGGCAGAUUAGGUAGUUGGUGGGAUAAAAGCUUACCAAGCCGACGAUCUGUAGCUGGUCUGAGAGGACGACCAGCCACACUGGGACUGAGACACGGCCCAGACUCCUACGGGAGGCAGCAGUGGGGAAUUUUGGACAAUGGGCGAAAGCCUGAUCCAGCCAUGCCGCGUGCAGGAUGAAGGCCUUCGGGUUGUAAACUGCUUUUGUACGGAACGAAAAAGUCUUCUCUAAUACAGGGGGCGAAUGACGGUACCGUAAGAAUAAGCACCGGCUAACUACGU
rnacentral:rRNA from 1 species